rnacentral:rRNA from 1 species
GUCGCUACUACCGAUUGAACGUUUUAGUGAGUUCCGAGGAUCAGUCGCUUCCAGUCCCUGUGUCUGGUUUGUCGAUCGAGAGCAGGUGCAAACUUGAGCGUUUAGAGGAAGUAA